rnacentral:misc_RNA from 1 species
AAGACUAUAGACCUGCGGAGUACCUGCGGAAGGAUCAUUAUCGAGUUAGGGUCUUCUCAGGCCCGACCUCCCAACCCUUUGUCGAACUUACCACUUGUUGCUUCGGCGGGCCCGUCCCUCUCUCUCUCUGGGAGGGGCCGCCGGUGGACCGUUAAACGUCCUCUGGCCCGCGCCCGUCGAUAGCCCCAAUUUAUUAAACUCUGAACAUAAACGUGUCACAAUCUGAGUAACCUUUAAAAU